GACCUGUUAUCCAGAAAGCCAGAUUUGGAUCUCCAUACUGGCUUGAGCUUCCUGGCACCAUUCUAUUCCCCAUGGAAAGUCAUUUUAAAUAGCCCUACAUUUGUGGACAAAUGUCAGUGUUUCUUCAUUACCAAUGAUUGUUCUUUGCUAAAGCAAAAUAAACUUUAAAUGUUAUCAAGAUGUCUGUCACUAUUGCAAUUCUUCUGUUUCUAAGCUGAUCAUUUACUGAUCUGAAGUGUUUUCUUUUUUAUUUUGAACCAUGAAUGUACUUUAAAUAAACAGUAUUUACCUUA